AUGCCUCCAUCUCCAUGGGCGGCAACCCCGGUGUUGCCCCUCCUCCUCCUGCUGCUGCUGCUCGUUCAGGGGAGCAUGGACAUGGACAUGGACAUGGGGGUGGAGGCGCCGAUGGGCUCGGAGGCGGCGCACGGGCGGCUGCUGUGGGCGACCGGCGGCGGGCGGAGGUACAUCAGCUACGACGCGCUGCGGGGGGACGCCGUGCCCUGCUCCCGGCCGGGCGUGCCCUACUACAACUGCCGCGUGAGCACCACCGCCAACCCCUACACCCGCGGCUGCGAGUCCAUCACCCGCUGCCGCGACGACGACCCUUCCUAG
rnacentral:rRNA from 1 species